rnacentral:lncRNA from 1 species
AUAAUUGGUCUUCACCAAGCUUAUAGUUGGACUUCACAUUGCUAUUGGAGAAAUGAAUUGGAAUCUAUGUGACUAUCCUCUUCUCCAACAUAGCAAAGGUAUCAUUGUAAUGUGCAUGAUCAUUUCAUCCCUUACUAGUAUGCGGUUAGUGCAUAUAGUACAUGCUUAAUAGGAUCAUACAUGACAAAUGAAAAGUUUUAAAUUCAUAGCCUACCACUAUUGCUUGAUUGAUUAGUUGAUCUAGUGGUAUGUAUAUGAGUUUGUUCAUGAGCUA